rnacentral:pre_miRNA from 1 species
UUUGUACUCCCUCUGUUCGAAAAUACUUGUCAUUGAAAUGGAUGUAUCUAGAUGUAUUUUAGUUCUAGACACAUCCAUUUUGAUGACAAGUAAUUCCGGACGGAGGGAGUACUUG